GACGUAGGGCGCGAGCGUUGUCCGGAUUUAUUGGGCGUAAAGAGCUCGUAGGCGGCUUGUCGCGUCGAAUGUGAAAUCUCAGGGCUCAACUCUGACAUUGCAUUCGAUACGGGCAGGCUAGAGUUCGGUAGGGGAGACUGGAAUUCCUGGUGUAGCGGUGAAAUGCGUAGAUAUCUGGAGGAACACCGGUGGCGAAGGCGGCAUCCUGGACCAAUAUUGACGCUGAGGAGCGAAAGCCAGGGGAGCAAACGGG
rnacentral:rRNA from 1 species